GCUGGGCAUGAUGGCUCAUGCCUGUAAUCCUAGCACUUUGGGAGGCUGAGCUGGGUGGAUCACCUGAGGUCAGGAGUUCGAGAUCAGCCUGGCCAACAUGGUCUCUACUAAAAAUACAAAAAUUAGCUGGGCUUGGUGGCAGACGCCAGUAAUCCCAGCUACUAUGGAGGCUGAGGCAGGAGAAUUGCUUGAACCCAGGAGGUGGAAGUUGCAGUGAGCCGAGAUCAUGACACAGCACUCCAGCCUGGGCAACAGAGUGAGACUCUGUCUCA
rnacentral:sRNA from 1 species